GAAAAUAAAAUAACAAUGAUUCUUUCAGUAACUGCGAGUGAAGCGAGAAAAGCCCAACGUUAAAAGCCGCGUUUGUAAAAGGAACGUCGCAUUGUAACGUAUAGAUGUGUUCUCAAGGUGAAAGCGUUUGUCAAAGUUACAUAGAGUGGUACGCCAUAGAGGGUGCUAGCCCCGUUGAUGACAAGCGCAUUAAUUUUGCCAAGUAAACACCAUUUAAGAGUCGUGUUGUUUGGGGAUUGCAACACUAAGUAGGUGGUAAACUUCACCUAAGGCUAAAUACAUACACGAGACCGAUAGCAGACAAGUACCGUGAGGGAAAGUUGAAAAGAACUCUGAAAAGAAAGUGAAAAGCACGUGAAACUGUUCAUAGGGAAGCAGACAGUAGAAUCGAAACGUGUUGUUGAUUGCUCAGUUGAGUAAUUGGCUGAGUGUCAGUGACAUUUGCGCUGAGCUUGUUGUGAGUUGUACGCAAGUACGUUAAAUGCACGCCAGUGGCAUUAGUUUGGUAAUAGGCGAGUUGAAUUAUUGAUGAACCAGUCGCUGGAUUGUGUCAACUGCUAUAGGUGCAUGGCAUGACACGGGCUAAUAUGAUAAGCAGUUGAUUUAAGCGAAAGAUUUAUGAGUGGACUUGUAAACUGUCAAGUUUAUAGGAACAUGAGUUGUUUGAGCCAAAUCGAUUUACUCUCAGCGAGAUAUGCUGCUGUCUGACCCGUCUUGAAACACGGACCAAGGAGGCUAACGUAUACGCGAGUCAAAGGGAAACAUGUAUGUGUUGUUUAUUUUAAACCCUAUGGCGUAACGAAAGUAAAAAACGAGAUCUUCAACUGCGUAGGAGAAGAGCAUUGUUGGCCAUUUGAGUUUAUUGAAACUAUGAAUGAGCAGGAGCGUAUGCGAUAGGACCCGAAAGAUGGUGAACUAUGCCUGAGUAGAAUGAAGCCAGAGGAAACUCUGGUGGAGGUUCGCAGCGGUUCUGACGUGCAAUUCCGAUCGUCAAACUUGGGUAUAGGGGCGAAAGACUAAUCGAACCAUCUAGUAGCUGGUUCCCUCCGAAAUAUCCCUCAGGAUAGCUGGAGCCUGAGCCAAAAGCAGUUUCAUUGGGUAGAGCUAAUGAUUAGAGGAAUUAGGGUCAUAACAGAUCUUAACCUAUUCUCAAACUGCGAACCGGUGAGAAAAACAUUGUUGCUUAUAUGCAGUGAUUUCGGUUGUUGUGUUGAACCGGUGUUUGUGAAUGCUAGGGCUCCAAGUGGGCCGUUUCUGGUAAGCAGAACUGGCGAUGCGGGAUGAACCGAGAGCUAAGUUAAGGUGCCUAAAUAAACGCCAAUGGACACCACUAAAGGAGUUGGUCGAUGAAGACAGCAGGACGGUGGCCCUGAAAGUAGGAAUCCGCUAAGGAGUGUCUAACAACUCACCUGCCGAAUCGACUGGCCCUGAAGAUGGAUGGCGCUAAAGCGUUUUACCGAUACUUGGCCAUCAACAUUAGUGUGUGAUAAAUGUUGAUGGGUAGGAGGGCGCAAAGAUAGCGGCGAAGAGUAUAGCGUAAGCUUGCUUGGAGCUGUCUUUGGUGCGGAUCUUGGUGGUAGUAGCAGUUUAUUCAAGUGAGACGCUUGAAGGCCGAAGUGGAGAAGGGUUCCGCGUAAACAUCAUUUGGACGCGGGUUAGUCGGUCCUAAGUGGCAGCUUACGUGCUGAUAUAUAAAGGGGAACAUCGGUAUGCUUAUGUUUGAUCCGUAAAAAGGUCUUGCAUUGUGUAUUUGACUCCCAGGCCACGAAAGGGAAUCAGGUUAAUAUUCCUGAACCAAGGUACGGAUAGUUUGUGCAAUGAUUUAAGUGUUUGCGUAGGGAGAUGCAGCGGUAACGCAAACGAUCUCAGAGACAUUUUCGGAAGAGUUAUCUUCUCUGUUUAACGAAACGAAGCCCUGGAAUUGAGUUCAUUCAGAGAUAGGGUUGAGAUUUCGGAAGAGCAUCGCACUUUUUGUGAUGUCUGGUGCGCUGUCUAAGAUCCUUGAAAAUCUGAGGGAGUGAAUGAUUAUCGUACUGGCCGUACCGUAAUCCGCAACAGGUCCCUAAGGUGAAUAGCCUCUGGCACUAGAACAAUGUGGGUAAGGGAAGUCGGCAAAAUAGAUUCGUAACUUCGGGAUAAGGAUUGGCCCUAUGGAUUGGGCUAAUCGGGCUAGUUUAUGUAGCUAAUGUGCGCUUGUGGUUGAGCUUGAAUCUGUUGCAGCAAUGUGGAUAGUGUUUAGGUUUGAUAACGUGUGUGCUUAGUUAUGUGCCUAGCUUGGUAAUGAGUGAUGUGUUAUUAACUUAAUGUGUUGCUUGUUAUCGUUACGGUUGGCUAAGAUCAAUCAACAUAGAACUGUCACUGACUAGGGGAAUCCGACUGUUUAAUUAAAACAAAGCAUUGCGAUGGCUGUAAAUAGUGUUGACGCAAUGUGAUUUCUGCCCAGUGCUCUGAAUGUCAAAGUGUGGAGACACAACCAAGCGCGGGUAAACGGCGGGUGUAACUAUGACUCUCUCAAGAUAGCCAAAUGCCUCGUCAUCUAAUUAGUGACGCGCAUGAAUGGAUCAACGAGAUUCCCACUGUCCCUACCUUCCAUCUAGCGAACCCACAGUCAAGGGAACGGGCUUGACUGAGACAGCGGGGAAAGAAGACCCUGUUGAGCUUGACUCUAGUUUGAUAUGGUUAGGAGACAUGAGAGGUGUAGCGUAGGUGGGAGACAUGUCCUCGGAUGUGUCGAUCUUGAAACACCACCACUUUCAUCGUCUCCUCACUUAAUCGGUGAUAAGGGAAGUGCCCAGUGAAACUGUUUGCUGUGGCAACGGCAUGAUGAAAGUUAUGCUUGUACCACAAUAAGUAUUCUAGGGUAGCUGGUGUCACGUAUACUAAGAAUUGUAAGACGAUUGGUGCUGCAGAGUGUUGCCACGUAUACGUGAUUGUAGUAUUUUGCAGUACUUUAACUAAUUGUUGACCCCAACUAUGCCUUCGGGUGUGUGUGUGACCGAUGACAGUGUCAGAUGGGGAGUUUGGCUGGGGCGGUACACCCUCUAAAAUGCAACGAGGGUGUCCAAAGGUGAGCUCACGGUGGACAGAAACCACCGGUAGAGUAUAAGGGCAAAAGCUCGCUUGAUUUUGAUUUUCAGUAUGAAUACAAACCACGAAAGUGUGGCCUAGCGAUCCUUUAUAAUGACCUGAAAGUUUCAGGAUAGAGGUGUCAGAAAAGUUACCACAGGGAUAACUGGCUUGUGGCUGCCAAGCGAACAUAGCGACGUAGCUUUUUUGAUCCUUCGAUGUCGGCUCUUCCCUAUCAUUUGCGCAGCAGCAUACGCAAAGUGUUGGAUUGUUCACCCCCCUAACAGGGAACGUGAGCUGGGUUUAGAC
rnacentral:rRNA from 1 species